rnacentral:rRNA from 1 species
GGGUGCGAUCAUACCAGCAGUAAUGCACCGGAUCCCAUCAGAACUCCGCAAUUAAGCGUGCUUGGGCGAGAGUGGUACUAGGAUGGGUGACCUCAUGGGAAGUCCUCGUGUUGCACCCC